ACGCACGCUGGCGGCAUGCCUAACCCCUGCCAGUCGAACGAGACCUUCGGGUCUAGUGGCGCACGGGUGCGUAACGCGUGGGAACCUGCCCUUAGGUUCGGAAUAACUCCCCGAAAGGGGUGCUAAUACCGGAUAAUGUCUUCGGACCAAAGAUUUAUCGCCUUUGGAUGGGCCCGCGUUGGAUUAGCUAGUUGGUAGGGUAAAAGCCUACCAAGGCGACGAUCCAUAGCUGGUCUGAGAGGAUGAUCAGCCACACUGGGACUGAGACACGGCCCAGACUCCUACGGGAGGCAGCAGUGGGGAAUAUUGGACAAUGGGCGAAAGCCUGAUCCAGCAAUGCCGCGUGAGUGAUGAAGGCCUUAGGGUUGUAAAGCUCUUUUACCCGGGAUGAUAAUGACAGUACCGGGAGAAUAAGCUCCGGCUAACUCCGU
rnacentral:rRNA from 1 species